rnacentral:rRNA from 1 species
UACGGAGGGGGCUAGCGUUGUUCGGAAUUACUGGGCGUAAAGCGCACGUAGGCGGCGAUUUAAGUCAGAGGUGAAAGCCCGGGGCUCAACCCCGGAAUAGCCUUUGAGACUGGAUUGCUAGAAUCUUGGAGAGGCGGGUGGGAAUUCCGAGUGUAGAGGUGAAAUUCGUAGAUAUUCGGAAGAACACCAGUGGCGAAGGCGGCCCGCUGGACAAGUAUUGACGCUGAGGUGCGAAAGCGUGGGGAGCAAACAGG